GUGACCGCUGCAAAACGAGUUCCGAUUGACUUACGAUAUUAAAAGUAGCCUGUCAAAAAUCAUAGAAUCGAAAUUCAAGUGUUGAAACGCCAGUUGAGAGUAUGGAGUAUGGAUCAGCAACCUAACCUCACCUCGAAUUUUCAAAGUAGAUAUUUUUCGACACGUUUAGACUGAUUACAGAAAAUUUCCAUCAGAGUCCACGCAGGACGAUGGCAAAAUGAGUUGACAGAACUUUUUUAUUCUCGGGGGAUUCCUGUCGACGAAUUUUACUUACGAAAUUUGAGACUAUCUCUCUCGCACUCAAGGUGCCGAAAUAUCGACUGAUCCGUACUCUUCCCCCAACGAAGGGCCGCGCUCGUACGUAUGAGAAGGCGAGGAGGGAGUGAGGCGGUGGGGGGGGUGUCGAUUGGAAGGCACGUCAAAAGCAUUAUAGCGAGAACAGUUACGCCGCAACAAUCGAGGGAUAAAAAUGAAGUGCGGAGGGAAAAGUGCGAUGGGAAGUGAAAAAAAAUUGAACGGGUGGAACAAAAAUGAGAAGGGAAUAGAAAUAACGAGAAAUGUAUUUUAGCCAGAUAAAACCUGAGAAAUGAGAUAUGAUUUGUGAAUGUGUUAUGAAAAAAUCGAUUCGAAAAAAAAGGAAAGAUGGGUUUUUUUCAUUCUUACGGAGUCCAAGCGAUGGAAGACUCUCUACAAUCCUCGGACCAUAUUCUCGCGGUCCAAUCACCGACGGUCAAAAAAUUUUUCACGAAUAUGGGAUUUCUCUCGACGCUAAUAACCGGCCCGUACUGCACUUUGAAUCUGGUGACCUGUCAUCGCAGAAAAAUACCUGGCCAUCUUUGGAAGCACUGAAAAACUCGGUUCCAGUCUUCGAAUUAAUCCAAAGAACUUUGUCGCACGGAUCGCGAUGGCUGUCCUCGAUUAAGCUCGUUUCAACGGGCUCCGAACCUCUCCUGAUGUCCCAGAAAGCUACUUGUCCAGACAUCAAGCCACUGACGAGUGUGUUGCUGUCUUUCGGGCUGUACUCAAUCGUAAAAAUCGGGCAUUGCGGUUUCAGUGUUAAAAAAGGGUUGUUCGGGUUUUCUGGAAAAAUCCUCCACUCGACGGUGGAUGGAAUCAGUUACGGAGAAUCUCCGAUUCCGAGACACUCUUGACGAAAUAUUAUCGAAUAAAAUUUACCUACGUCCCAGAUGUACGAGCAGGGACUGUAAUUUUUGGCCUUUUUGAAAUCGGUGUUGCAGUAACUGACGGCCAACCUUGUGCCUUGGUCGGGUGACCAAGAGAGGUGGGUGAUCGGACGUUUGAGAGGCGCCAAAUCGCGAUAAACGUUCACUGUACGAGAAUAAGUUCGCUGCACCAAUGGGGCUGGCUCGGUGUCCUGAAAAUACUGUUCGUAUAUGUUGCAAGCGUUGUUUUGAAGUAUGCAGUGUUCCAUCGGCUUCGUGAAAUGGAAAAUAAAAAAACAAUAAGAAACAUUUCUGUCAAGAAAACAA